CUAAGGAUAUUACGGAAUACACAAUCGUUUCUUACGUUGUUCAGUUUUGAGAGGUUUACUCUCAAACGAUUGUUCAUUGAAAACUGGAUAGUGAAGUAAAAAAAUCAAAACAAACCGAGAACACCGCGUUGAAUGAGUUUUUUAAUAAGUUCAAUUGCUUAUUUUCUUGAUUAAGCUUCUAUCGCUAGAAGAACUGAUCAAAACCCAACCGUAAGGUUGAGAA
rnacentral:misc_RNA from 1 species